rnacentral:rRNA from 1 species
AUUGAACGCUGGCGGCAGGCCUAACACAUGCAAGUCGAACGAGUGGCGGACGGGUGAGUAAUGUCUGGGAAACUGCCCGAUGGAGGGGGAUAACUACUGGAAACGGUAGCUAAUACCGCAUACCAUCGGAUGUGCACAGAUGGGAUUAGCUUGUAGGUGAGGUAACGGCGCACCUAGGCGACCAUCCCUAGCUGGUCUGCGAGGAUGACCAGUCAGACGGGAACUGAGACACGGUCCAGACUCCUACGGACGGCAGCAGUGGGGAAUAUUGCAAAAGGGGCGAUAGCCUGAUGCAGCCAUGCGGGGUGUAUGAAGAAGGUGUUCGGUUUGUAGAGUAAUUUCAGCGGGGAGGCGUUACCCGCAGAAGAAGCACCGGCUAACUCCGUGCCAGCCGCCGCGGUAAUAC